rnacentral:lncRNA from 1 species
UCUUUCUCAUUUUCGCCUUCUCCUCCGCCAUACUAUGAGCCUGUGACACUGAGAUGCUGUGACGAUGUGACGCCCAGAAGCCUUGACGGUGAGGACUGCUCUCUCUCUCUCUUCACUUCACCUGCACGGCUGCACAGCUCCUCAGCUCCUUCUUUCUCCCUCACAGAUCUUUCUGCCAUGUCCGCCAACGCCAAGAGCUCUCUCUCUCUCUUCACUUCACUUUACUUGCAACCUAAUCAGUCUUAGCCUUCAAUUCAUCAAUUGUUCCCAAACUCGAUCUGAACCUUCAAUUAGCAUACUCAAUCUGAACCUUCAGUUAGCAUACUCGAUCUGAACCUUCAGUUCCCAAACUCGAUUUGAACCUUCAAUCUCAGCCUUCAGGUUCCAAUGGACGAAUGACCACUAUGGGUGUAUAUGUGCGUGAUUUGCUACUUGGGCAGGCUUGCAGCAUGGUUAUUGUUCCAUCGCCGACAACUCUAGUUGAACCAGACCCGACAAUUGAUCGAUGGUAGCUGUUGAAUUGCUGGAUAGAGAAUUGAAAAAAGGGAUGCUAAAUUGUUGUAUUUGAAUUAGGACUUUCUAUUUCAAUUGCAUAUUUGUAUUUCAAACUUGGACUUCAUAUUUAAAUUGGGACAUUGUAUUUAAAACUUUCAAUUGCAGGUAUUGUGAUUGACUUGUAUUUGAAUUUGAAUUUUAUGCAUUUUGGAUA